rnacentral:rRNA from 1 species
GAUGUGGUUUAAUUCGAUGCAACGCGAAAACCUUACCACCUUUGACAUGUACGGAAUCCUUUAGAGAUAGAGGAGUGCUCGAAAGAGAGCCGUAACACAGGUGCUGCAUGGCUGUCGUCAGCUCGUGUCGUGAGAUGUUGGGUUAAGUCCCGCAACGAGCGCAACCCUUGUCAUUAGUUGCUACAUUCAGUUGGGCACUCUAAUGAGACUGCCGGUGACAAACCGGAGGAAGGUGGGGAUGACGUCAAGUCCUCAUGGCCCUUAUAGGUGGGGCUACACACGUCAUACAAUGGAUGGUACAAAGGGUCGCCAACCCGCGAGGGGGAGCCAAUCCCAUAAAGCCAUUCGUAGUCCGGAUCGCAGUCUGCAACUCGACUGCGUGAAGUCGGAAUCGCUAGUAAUCGUGGAUCAGAAUGUCACGGUGAAUACGUUCCCGGGUCUU